GACAAACGCUGGCGGCGUGCUUAACACAUGCAAGUCGAGCGGUAAGGCCCUUUCGGGGGUACACGAGCGGCGAACGGGUGAGUAACACGUGGGUGACCUGCCCUCAGCUCUGGGAUAAGCCCGGGAAACUGGGUCUAAUACCGGAUAUGACUCCAUGACGCAUGUUGUGGGGUGGAAAGCCUUGUGCGGCUGAGGAUGGGCCCGCGGCCUAUCAGCUUGUUGGUGGGGUGAUGGCCACCAAGGCGACGACGGGUAGCCGGCCUGAGAGGGCGACCGGCCACACUGGGACUGAGAUACGGCCCAGACUCCUACGGGAGGCAGCAGUGGGGAAUCUUGCGCAAUGGGCGAAAGCCUGACGCAGCGACGCCGCGUGAGGGAUGACGGCCU
rnacentral:rRNA from 1 species